rnacentral:rRNA from 1 species
UUAGGAAUCUUCCACAAUGGGCGAAAGCCUGAUGGAGCGACGCCGCGUGAGGGAUGAAGGCCUUAGGGUUGUAAACCUCUAAAAGAGGGACGAUAAUGACGGUACCUCUUGAAUAGCACCGGCUAACUCCGUGCCAGCAGCCGCGGUAUUACGGAGGGUGAAAGCGUUAUCCGGAAUCACUGGGCGUAAAGGGCGCGUAGGCGGUCUGUUAAGUCCGAUGUUAAAUCCCGGGGCUCAACCCCGGAUAAGCGUUGGAUACUGGCAGGCUAGACGGUUGGAGAGGCGAGUGGAAUUACCAGUGUAGCGGUGGAAUGCGUAGAUACUGGUAGGAACACCCAUUGCGAAGGCAGCUCGCUGGACAACACGUGACGCUGAGGCGCGAAAGUGUGGGGAGCAAACC